UAAAAGUCAGGUCGGAUUAAGCCACAGUACGGAAAAAACUGUGCUACCUGUGAGCCCCGUCCAAGGACGU
rnacentral:lncRNA from 1 species